GCUACUGUGGCUCAGUCGGCAGAGCGCGUCCUUGGUAAGGACGAGGUCACCGGUUCGAUUCCGGUCAGUAGCUCCA
rnacentral:tRNA from 1 species